GUUAUUAUUUAUUUACUUGUUCACUUGAAUUAUCUUCUCCAUAGUUGAUGAUCUCAUAGCAGUUUAUAUGUCAAUACUAAAUAGCCAGUUGCAGACUAUGAAUGUGCCUCUAAAAAUAUUUGAUCGAUGGAAGACCUUCUAGAGUUAUAAUGAGAUUGUCCCAAAAUGGUCUAAAGCUUGCUGUAAGAUUUACCCUAUUUUAUCAUGAAAAGAAUAGACUUCAUGUAAUGGAUCAACUGAAACAUGAGAUUUAAGCAAUGGAUUUAUCAUGAAAAGAUAUAACUGGGCUUUGUUUGUCAAAGAUCGUCAUUGGUUGAGAGAGUGAAGUCUAUUCAUGUUUAUGUAUCUGUGCAUGGGGCAUA
rnacentral:misc_RNA from 1 species